GAUGAACGCUGGCGGCGUGCCUAAUACAUGCAAGUCGAGCGAACAGACGAGGAGCUUGCUCCUCUGACGUUAGCGGCGGACGGGUGAGUAACACGUGGAUAACCUACCUAUAAGACUGGGAUAACUUCGGGAAACCGGAGCUAAUACCGGAUAAUAUAUUGAACCGCAUGGUUCAAUAGUGAAAGACGGUUUUGCUGUCACUUAUAGAUGGAUCCGCGCCGCAUUAGCUAGUUGGUAAGGUAACGGCUUACCAAGGCAACGAUGCGUAGCCGACCUGAGAGGGUGAUCGGCCACACUGGAACUGAGACACGGUCCAGACUACUACGGGAGGCAGCAGUAGGGAAUCUUCCGCUAUGGGCGAAAGCAUGACGGAGCAACGCCGCGUGAGUGAUGAAGGUCUUCGGAUCGUAAAACUCUGUUAUUAGGGAAGAACAAAUGUGUAAGUAACUAUGCACGUCUUGACGGUACCUAAUCAGAAAGCCACGGCUAACUACGUG
rnacentral:rRNA from 1 species